rnacentral:rRNA from 1 species
GAUGAACGCUGGCGGCGUGCCUAAUACAUGCAAGUCGAGCGAACGGACGAGAAGCUUGCUUCUCUGAUGUUAGCGGCGGACGGGUGAGUAACACGUGGAUAACCUACCUAUAAGACUGGGAUAACUUCGGGAAACCGUAGCUAAUACCGGAUAAUAUAUUGAACCGCAUGGUUCAAUAGUGAAAGACGGUCUUGCUGUCACUUAUAGAUGGAUCCGCGCUGCAUUAGCUAGUUGGUAAGGUAACGGCUUACCAAGGCAACGAUGCAUAGCCGACCUGAGAGGGUGAUCGGCCACACUGGAACUGAGACACGGUCCAGACUCCUACGGGAGGCAGCAGUAGGGAAUCUUCCGCAAUGGGCGAAAGCCUGACGGAGCAACGCCGCGUGAGUGAUGAAGGUCUUCGGAUCGUAAAACUCUGUUAUUAGGGAAGAACAAAUGUGUAAGUAACUAUGCACAUCUUGACGGUACCUAAUCAGAAAGCCACGGCUAACUACGUG